rnacentral:rRNA from 1 species
AUGCCCUGCUCCUCGGCAUCUGUGUUUCUUUCGUUUCUCCAGGUUAAAAUUCACCAUCUUGUGUUUCUUCAUUGGGCGAAUCAAGAUCUUCCAUUGGAACGCAGGAUGUCACCGUCGAGAUCCAGGAAGCGCCCUUUGGGGCCGCAGCCCACCACCGCGCUCGCAAAGAAGCGGCACUGCCCCGCGCCCGCGGUGCUGGCCUCGGAUGAUGUCGCUGGCGCGGCGGUACCCUCGUCGCCGUCCUCCUCCUCCUCCUGGGCGUCGCUUCCAGGGGAUAUGGUUCGACAGAUAGCUUGGCGCGUGCUGGCCGGCGAUUUUCUGGAUUACGUCCGCCUCCGCGCCGUUUGCACCAGUUGGCGGUCCGGCGCCGUGUGCCCGCGCGGCCGCGGCGUCACCGAUCCACGCUUCCACCCGCGCCGCUGGAUGAUGCUGCCGGAGGGCAACGGCCUCUACCCCGGCCACAGAAACCUGGGUGGCUACAUCCGCUUCUUCAACCUUGACACUGGAGCCCUCGCCCGUGUCGAGCUCCCCCUGUUCAAGAACCACUGUGCUCUGGAAUCGGUCGACGGCCUCCUGCUCCUCCAGAGAGACCAAGACACCGCCAUCCGCCUCCUCCACCCUUUCACUCGCGACAUUGUUGAGCUCCCGCCGCUCGCCACCCUCCUCACGCAGCUGGGCGACGAUCUCCGCAGCGCGCACACCGACCCCGAGCUGCGGAAAUGGUACUACAUCAGAUACUGCGUGUGCGCUUCCGUUUCCUGCAGCGGUGGAUCCGUCGUCGUCAUGCUCGCGUUCCGUCGUCUGAUGCGUGUAGCCUUUGCGACCUCCGACUCCCAGGACCAGCAAUGGACCAUGCCAAGCUGGGAAGUCCCGUUUAACACUGCGGCCUUGGCAUUCCAAGGCAAGCUAUACUUUGUGCACCACCCUACGACUAAUGGCUCGCUGGUUUUCCAGAUCGACCCGCCCCUGCGGGUUGGUUCGCCGCCACUGCCGCCAAAGCUGAUCGCCACAUGUCUGGUGGAUAAACUCUACAGGGGCUCCCAUCUGGUAGAAUGCGACUCACAGAUCCUGCUUGUUGGCCAUGGCGACAGUUCCUUGAAGCACAUUGUGAUUUACAAACUCGAGGACCUUAUCUUGGAAAGGUUUAUCCCGGUGACAAGCAUUGGAGACCGUGCCCUCUUUCUCCAAGGGAAGUGCCUGAGUGUCUCCUCCACGGCGCUGCCUACUGUCAUGUCUGAUACUGUUGUCUGUACCCAUCCAAUAUACUAUUAUUAUGCACAAUACCACCUCAGGACUGGUGCUUGGUCUCAACCAAUCGACACAUGCGGUCUAGAUGGCUUUAACCCGGGUCCUCGUAGCCUCAUCCACCAUGUCAUUACUUGCUGCAUUCGCAAUGUCUGGUAUUGUACUGGCACUCCUACUCCUAUUUAUGUUGUCACAGCUGUUCCUAGAUCAUGUUAA